UGCCAGCAGCCGCGGUAAUACAGAGGGUGCGAGCGUUAAUCGCGAAUGACUGGGCAUAAAGAGCGCGUAGGUGGUUACUUAAGUUAGAUGUGAAAGACCCGGGCUUAACCUGGGGGUGCCAUUUAAUACUGGGUAACUUGAGUGCAGUAGAGGGAAGUGGAAUUUCCGGUGUAGCGGUGAAAUGCGUAGAUAUCGGAAGGAACACCAGUGGCGAAGGCGACUUGCUGGUCUAAUACUGACGCUGAGGAGCGAAUGCGUGGGGAGCAAACGGGAUUAGAUA
rnacentral:rRNA from 1 species